UGGGGAGGCACAGCCCUCCAUACAGUUUCGCAACCCUGAGGUGGCCUCAGGCCAAAAAGUUUGCCCACCCCAUAUCUGGUGGGAUCCUGCAAAGGGUGGGUUUUAGGUCUUGUCUUAAUUAGUGAUGAAGAAGAGGGAGGAAACAACAUCUUAAUAAAAGGUGCAGAUGAUCCUAACCUGGCCAGAGCUGCAAGAGCCAGACAGGCUGGAGACGAGGCCGGCUCCAGGGUUUUGGCUGCCCCAAGCAGCCAAAAAAAAAAAGAAGCCGCGAUCGCGAUCUGUGGCGGCAAUUCGGCGGAAGGUCCUUCGCUCCGAGCGGGAGUGAGGGACUGUCCACUGAAUUGCCGCUGCAUAGCUGGACCUGCCGCUCCUCUCCGGAGUGGCCGCCCCAAUCACCUGCUUGCCAAGCUGGUGCCUGGAGCCGGCCCUGGCUGGAGAAAUGACAGAAAGGGACCUACAGCGCUUAGUCCCAGGCAGGGACUAACAAAAUGAGAGUUUGCCUGGAUACAUGCAAGUAAUUAAUGUGGCAGAACAUCACAGAGUGGUUCAGUGGCAGGGAGAGAACUGGGAGAGACCGAGUGUGAUAACAGAUCAGGUCACACAGGAGUUUUCACUAUGAUCUCAUGGCAUUAUCAGCCAGCAUGGUUUGGGGUUGCACCCAGAAGUAUCGUUCCAGAGUACAGCGGGAAUAGUUCUCCUCUAUAUGGCUCUGGUACAAUUGCUCCUGAAAUACUGCGCUCAGUUCCAGGAACUACAACCCCCCCAAAGAGUACCUGCAAAUUGAAGAGAUUUCAAAGAAGAGCAUCAGUGAUCAGGGGUAGAGGGGACAAGUUUGGGGGAGCGAUUGAGACAGCGAAAUCUGUCUAAUUUAUCUAAAGAAUGGCUGGGGGCGGGGGGGUGUGGGCCCUGCUUAAGGGCUGCAAAUAUACGCUCACUGUAAUCAAGCCAUACAUGUGCUUACUACACAGCUAUAAUUUGCCGACCAGUCACACGUCCCCUCAAACACAAACACCCCAAUUUUUCACACUUGCUAUCUGCUCACCCUACCCCACGAUCACGCAUAUGGAUAUGCACAUGCACACAGCUCUGCACUCACACCCAGCAGGCAACAAGGUGCUCGGGCCGACAUCCCCCUCUUUGUCAGAUAUCAACGCUCGCAGCAGGCUGCUCGCCCUUCUAGCGGUGGGGACAUGGCUCCAUGCUGCGCUGCUGGAGGGAAGCUUUUCACAGAUCACCUUAGCAGGCUUGGUGUCUCAGAGACACAUGCACAGGCUCACAGUGGCACAGCUUGUUAGAAAACAAUCCUAG
rnacentral:lncRNA from 1 species